AAGUCGUAACAAGGUUUCCGUAGGUGAACCUGCGGAAGGAUCAUUACUGAGGUUAAACAGGUCUUGAGACUCUUGUGUGCUCGACUUGUCAUAUCUAUACACACCUAUGUGCACUCUUAUAAAAGCCUGUUAUAUGCAUGUGUAUUUAGCUCUACGGAGUAAAUGUAACAACUUUCAACAACGGAUCUCUUGGCUUUU
rnacentral:misc_RNA from 1 species